ACUUAAAAGGAAAUUACUGCUGGAAAGGGAGGAGGAUCUGAAAGCAGGUAAAUGAUGUGGAAUGUUAAGUUCCAGAACAAAAGUAUGGAUGUAUCCCCAAAACUAAUCAUGACUUAUUUACUCCCUACAAGUUAAACAAUUUGAAAAUACAAACUAACUCAGAACAGUAAGAUUAAGGGGAGUUAAUAUUCAUAUUAAUGUUGGCAUGCCCAUUUUGCUUAUAAGAGUUGGCCAUGAACUUUAUCGGUUUUUUUGUAUGAAAGUCUGUGCUAUUUUAUUUUGGGUUAUUAAUUUUAUUACUAGUUUUACUGUGUAUUCAUUUAGCUUUAUUUAAUUUUUAGAUAAUCUAAUACUGUUAUACCCUUUUACAAUUUAGUUAUUAGUUUCAAAGCAGAAUGCUUUUAAUUCUUUGUGUGCUACAGGUAACUUUGAAGCAAUGUAUCACAUAGUUCCUGUUUAUUACCCACAGGUGGGUAAGCCAAGAUUAGUCUUUUUCUCUGAAAUACAGAGAUACCCUGUAAAUGGAAAUGCAUCUCCAGAAAGUUCCUGAGAAGAUUACACUAAAAUUAUUAAAGAUAUGGGUUCUCAAAGAACCAUUUUGAAAUUAGGAUACUCCCCUCCUUCCCAAAAAAGUGCAAUAGUGGUAAGCAACAUGGUUUUUUUAAGGCUAGGUGAGGUAGCUCAUGCCUAUAAUGUCAGCACUUUGGGAAACUAACGAAGGAGAGAGGAUUGCUUGAGGCCAGGAGUUUGAGGGCAGCCUCGGCAACACAGUGAGAUCUCAUCUCCAUAAGAAAAAAAAUAACCAGGUGUAAUAGCAUGUCUCUGUAGUUCCAGCUACUUGGGAGGCUAAGGUGGGAGGAUUACUUGAGCCUAGGAGGUUGAGGCUGCAGUGAGCUGCAAUUGUGCCACUGCACACCAGACUGAGCAACAGAGCAAGACCUUGUCUCAAAAAACAAAAACAUUUUUUAGUUAAAACAGACUAGUUUUACUUAAAACAAGCUAGUUUUUGUGACUUCUAGUCUCAACUCUGUCAAUGUUUUACUCUGUUAACAAGUUAUAUAAGACCUAAUUUAAAAGAAUUAUAUUAUUUUCCAUUUUUAAAUGCCUAUAUUUUGAAAGCUGAAUCUUCAUUAUCCAAACAAAUGUUAAAAGACAGUGGAACUCUUUUAAGAAUACGAUAAGCCCCAUUUUAUAGAUGGGAAAAUGAGGCUCGAAGAGGUACAAUCAGAAGGACCCAAGGUCACACAGUU
rnacentral:lncRNA from 1 species